rnacentral:misc_RNA from 1 species
UUUUCAUCAUUUGGCCAUGUUCAAUCUAUCUCAUGCCUUGUGAAGUAAAGAUUGGCAGCAUUGUCUUAGAAUUGAAAAACUACAAUCAUUUAUGUCUCAAAGAGAAUGAGUUUGACAUUAGGAGAAGGUAGAGGAAUAAGAUGUGUUUCUUUUGAUAUUGCAAUCAUCUUUUGCUCGAAGAGACUGAGUUUGAACUGAGGAGAAGGUAGAGGAAGAAAAUCAGGGCCUUGCUG